rnacentral:lncRNA from 1 species
AGAACUACUAUGCUUUCAAAACAUAAGUGAUUUGGUGCUUUCGACUUUUUGACCCCUAGAUCAAUAUUAUAGGGUUGGAAUGAUAGUAAUCUCUCUUAGGAUUGAGUGAUCCCUGAGGGUAAUAAUAUUAAUCUUAAGAUCAGAAAUAGUCAAAGAGAUUGAUCCAAGGACCAAUAAUUUGGAAGCACCAACUCUCUUAUAUUUUCAAAAGCAUAAUAGCUCUACUCAAUAAAUAAUAUAUCAUGUCUACAAAAUUUUCUUUAAUUUAAUUUAUAAUAUAUUUAUAAAGAUUGAAAUUAAAUAUUAUAACAAUAUUAUUCUACCAAAAAAGUGGAAUAGUUUAUUCCAAACUAUUCCAGGAUAAACAAGAAUAGGUAGAUUUAAUCGAAAUAUUUUAACAGGAAUAGCCUCUAAAUGUUAAACUCAUAUUUCCGCUUUAUCUUCGAACCAAAUGGGACCUAACUUAAUUAAAAGGAUUAAUUUUAUACAGAUCCCUACAAACAUAAUAAAUUGCAAAUAUAUAUAUAUCCUUACAAAGUUCAACUUUUAUAUACUAUUCUUGCAAAAGUUCUUAUAUUUUCAAAUAUGUUCUUACUGUUAGGAUCUAUCAGAAAAAAUUAGUUAACCAUAGGUAAAAUAAUUAAUCCUAGUUAGUUAAUGAAGUGAAUUGCCCUUUUUACCCCUCUUUAAUUAAUAGUUGGGACUUUUGGAGGGUCAUAUUUAUGAUGAUAAAAAUGUCAUUUUACUUAUAAAAUAAACAACAUUUUAACGGUAACAAACUAGAGAGAAAUAUUUGAAAAUAUUAGGAUUUUUGCAGAAACAACAUAUGAAAGUCGAACUUUGUAAGAAUAUUUUUGCAAUUCACUAUGUUUGUAGGGACAUGUAUGAAAUUAACACUAGUUAAAAAGUAUUAUAUAAAAUUGUUAUUUGUGGGACCUCACACCAGCUUGGGCCAGAAGCCAAAGCUGGUCAAAACCUAGCUUGGGCCCAAAGCCACUACCCUCUCGAAGCUUCUAGACUCCUCAUGUACUCCUCCGCCGCUUCUUAUAAUUAUAUAUACUUCGCAGCUAGAGAGACAAACACAAUCCCCAGUUCAUUCUAGCAUUUCGUCGAACACAUUGCGCUCGAACGACUAUGGCGAUCGCGAUGGAGAUCCCGAGGGAGUACGGAUACGUCGUCCUCGUCCUCGUCCUCUACUCCUUCCUCAAUUUGUGGAUGGCUUUUCAAGUGGGCAAGGCUCGGAAAAAGUAAUCCUUUGGAUUUUCUCUUCUUUUU